rnacentral:rRNA from 1 species
UGCCCUGAUGUGGGGGAUAACUAUUGGAAACGAUAGCUAAUACCGCAUAACGUCUACGGACCAAAGAGGGGGACCUUCGGGCCUCUCGCUUCAGGAUAUGCCCAGGUGGGAUUAGCUAGUUGGUGAGGUAAUGGCUCACCAAGGCGACGAUCCCUAGCUGGUCUGAGAGGAUGAUCAGCCACACUGGAACUGAGACACGGUCCAGACUCCUACGGGAGGCAGCAGUGGGGAAUAUUGCACAAUGGGCGCAAGCCUGAUGCAGCCAUGCCGCGUGUAUGAAGAAGGCCUUCGGGUUGUAAAGUACUUUCAGUCGUGAGGAAGGCAUUAUAGUUAAUAGCUAUAUCGUUUGACGUUAGCGACAGAAGAAGCACCGGCUAACUCCGUGCCAGCAGCCGCGGGUAAUACGGAAGGGUGCGAAGCGUUAAUCGGAAAUU